rnacentral:rRNA from 1 species
CCUACGGGGGGCAGCAGUGAGGAAUAUUGGUCAAUGGGCGGAAGCCUGAACCAGCCAAGUAGCGUGCAGGAUGACGGCCCUACGGGUUGUAAACUGCUUUUAUACGGGAAUAACGCGCCUUACGUGUAGGGCUUUGCAUGUACCGUAUGAAUAAGGACCGGCUAAUUCCGUGCCAGCAGCCGCGGUAAUACGGAGGGUGCAAGCGUUACUCGGAAUCACUGGGCGUAAAGAGCGCGUAGGCGGGAUAGCAAGUCAGAUGUGAAAUCCUAUGGCUUAACCAUAGAACUGCAUUUGAAACUGUUAUUCUAGAGUAUGGGAGAGGUAGGUGGAAUUCUUGGUGUAGGGGUAAAAUCCGUAGAGAUCAAGAGGAAUACUCAUUGCGAAGGCAGCUUGCUGCAGCGGAACUGAUGCUGAUGCUCGAAAGCGCGGGUAUCGAACAGGAUUAGAUACCCCUGUAGUC